UUUCCCUUAAAUUAAUAAGCUCAUCUUUUUGGCUUGGACAAGUGAAGUUUCUAUUGUUUUGCAGUAAUGGCCACUGCAGUGAAGACAUUGUUGGCUCUGGCUGUGAUUUCAGUGAGCUUUGGUGGGAAAUCGGUUGGAGCAGAGGUGCACCAUUUGGUUGGUGGGGAUCGAGGCUGGGACCCUUCUACAAAUGUGGCUUCUUGGUCCUCCGGCAGAACAUUCAGGGUCGGAGACAAAAUCUGGUUCACAUAUUCCAUUACACAGGGAAUGAUAGCUGAGCUUAAGACGAAAGAGGAAUUCGACUCAUGCGAUGUACGCAAUCCAACCAGAAUGUAUUCGGACGGCCUCGAUGGCAUCUCGCUCAAUGAGGAAGGGAUCCGCUACUUCGUGAGCACAAAUUCGAAGGUCUGUAAGAAUGGCUUGAAGCUUCAUGUGGAGGUGAUGCCUGAACAGACAUCCGAUGUCAAUGAUAUCCCAAAACUUAGCGCAUCUGAGGACGCUGCCUUGGCUGUUGCUGCUGGGCCAACCCCAUCUGAUUCAACCCACGUUGGUGCAGGCGGUGCUAUGUUGCUGUCUGGAAUCUGGCUGUGUUCUUACAUCAUGGGUAUUUAGGUUUGAAGUUAAAUUGUUAUGAAAACUAUUAUGUUUAAUUUAAUAGCUGUUUGUGAGAACCCAAAUUUAGUGAGGGUUUUGUAGUUUUAAUUGUCCAAUGAUUUCUACAUUGAAUGUUUCCUUCUUAAUAUGUUUUUUUUUUUU
rnacentral:misc_RNA from 1 species